AGUGAACGCUGGCGGUAGGCCUAACACAUGCAAGUCGAACGGCAGCACAGUAAGAGCUUGUUCUUACGGGUGGCGAGUGGCGGACGGGUGAGGAAUACAUCGGAAUCUAUUUUUUCGUGGGGGAUAACGUAGGGAAACUUACGCUAAUACCGCAUACGACCUACGGGUGAAAGCAGGGGAUCUUCGGACCUUGCGCGAUUGAAUGAGCCGAUGUCGGAUUAGCUAGUUGGCGGGGUAAAGGCCCACCAAGGCGACGAUCCGUAGCUGGUCUGAGAGGAUGAUCAGCAACACUGGAACUGAGACACGGUCCAGACUCCUACGGGAGGAAGCAGUGGGGAAUAUUGGACAAUGGGCGCAAGCCUGAUCCAGCCAUACCGCGUGGGUGAAGAAGGCCUUCGGGUUGUAAAGCCCUUUUGUUGGGAAAGAAAAGCAGCAGGUUAAUACCCCGCUGUUCUGACGGUACCCAAAGAAUAAGCACCGGCUAACUUCGUG
rnacentral:rRNA from 1 species